GAUCCCUGGGUGAGGCAAAGAAAAGAAGCAGUAUCUGGUCACCUGGUUUCUAUUGUCUUUGUGCUGGAAAUCAUACAAAGAGCAGCAUGCAGCUAGGCGAGCAUACUGUCACUGCGCCACAACCAAAGCCCCAACUGAAUUUUGAUCUUACUUCUGAGUUAGGUAGAGUGGAACAAAUGUACUUCUCCCAGUCAAAAGGAGGGACAAAGCCAUUUUAGACAGAGGGAAGAGGCAUGUGAUACAUCACACAGGAAUCAUGAACAACAGAACCCUGAAGUUCACGUCAACCAAUUCUGGCAAUUGCAUUUAAGAGGAACGUGGACAAACAUGACAACGCACAACUACAACACUCCAAACAAACUCCAAGAAGCCACCCCGGAGAAAAACCAGUCAUGGGAAGCAAAGGUCUGUUCACCUCCAGGUUUGUCACCAGCCAAUUAACAAGGGAACAGUCCAGCCAAUAAAGAAAGAGUUUGC